rnacentral:rRNA from 1 species
UACAGAGGGUGCAAGCGUUGUUCGGAAAUACUGGGCGUAAAGCGCACGUAGGCGGCGCAGCAAGUCAGGGGUGAAAUCCCCGGGGCUCAACCUCGGAACUGCCCUUGAAACUGCAGUGCUAGAAUCUUGGAGAGGCGAGUGGAAUUCCGAGUGUAGAGGUGAAAUUCGUAGAUAUUCGGAGGAACACCAGAAGCGAAGGCGGCCAACUCGGCCCGAUACUGACGCUGAGGCGCGAAAGCGUGGGGAGCAAACAGG